rnacentral:rRNA from 1 species
CAUGCAAGUCGAACGAGAAUCUACUGAAAGAGUUUUCGGACGAUGGAAGUAGAGGAAAGUGGCGGACGGGUGAGUAACGCGUGAGGAACCUGCCUUGAAGAGGGGGACAACAGUUGGAAACGACUGCUAAUACCGCAUGAAGCAUAGGGGUCGCAUGAUUCUUAUGCCAAAGAUUUAUCGCUUCAAGAUGGCCUCGCGUCUGAUUAGCUAGUUGGCGGGGUAACGGCCCACCAAGGCGACGAUCAGUAGCCGGACUGAGAGGUUGAACGGCCACAUUGGGACUGAGAUACGGCCCAGACUCCUACGGGAGGCAGCAGUGGGGAAUAUUGGGCAAUGGGCGCAAGCCUGACCCAGCAACGCCGCGUGAAGGAAGAAGGCUUUCGGGUUGUAAACUUCUUUUAAGAGGGAAGAGCAGAAGACGGUACCUCUAGAAUAAGCCACGGCUAACUACGUGCCAGCAGCCGCGGUAAUACGUAGGUGGCAAGCGUUGUCCGGAUUUACUGGGUGUAAAGGGCGUGCAGCCGGGUCUGCAAGUCAGAUGUGAAAUCCAUGGGCUCAACCCAUGAACUGCAUUUGAAACUGUAGAUCUUGAGUGUCGGAGGGGCAAUCGGAAUUCCUAGUGUAGCGGUGAAAUGCGUAGAUAUUAGGAGGAACACCAGUGGCGAAGGCGGAUUGCUGGACGAUAACUGACGGUGAGGCGCGAAAGUGUGGGGAGCAAACAGGAUUAGAUACCCUGGUAGUCCACACUGUAAACGAUGAAUACUAGGUGUGCGGGGACUGACCCCCUGCGUGCCGCAGUAAACACAAUAAGUAUUCCACCUGGGGAGUACGAUCGCAAGGUUGAAACUCAAAGGAAUUGACGGGGGCCCGCACAAGCGGUGGAUUAUGUGGUUUAAUUCGAAGCAACGCG